rnacentral:rRNA from 1 species
GAGUUUGAUCCUGGCUCAGAUUGAACGCUGGCGGCGUGCUUAACACAUGCAAGUCGAACGCGAAAGUGGCUUCGGCCACGAGUAGAGUGGCGCACGGGUGAGUAACGCGUGGAUAAUCUGCCUCUGCAAUCGGAAUAACGACUGGAAACGGUCGCUAAUACCGGAUACGCUUAAGUUUUACCUCUUAAGGAAAGAUGACCUCUAUUUAUAAGUUAUCGUGCAGAGAUGAGUCCGCGUCCCAUUAGCUUGUUGGCGGGGUAACGGCCCACCAAGGCGACGAUGGGUAGCCGAUUUAAGAGGAUGAUCGGCCACAUUGGAACUGAAACACGGUCCAAACUCCUACGGGAGGCAGCAGUGGGGAAUAUUGCGCAAUGGGCGAAAGCCUGACGCAGCGACGCCGCGUGAGGGAUGAAGGUCUUCGGAUCGUAAACCUCUGUCAGAAGGGAAAAAUGUACAGUGCUCCAAUCAACACUGUAUUGAUGGUACCUUCAGAGGAAGCACCGGCUAACUCCGUGCCAGCAGCCGCGGUAAUACGGAGGGUGCAAGCGUUAAUCGGAAUUACUGGGCGUAAAGCGCGCGUAGGUUGUUUUGUAAGUCAGAGGUGUAAUCCCACGGCUUAACCGUGGAACUGCCUUUGAUACUGCAUAACUUGGAUCCGGGAGAGGACAGCGGAAUUCCAGGUGUAGGAGUGAAAUCCGUAGAUAUCUGGAAGAACAUCAGUGGCGAAGGCGGCUGUCUGGACCGGUAUUGACGCUGAGGCGCGAAAGCGUGGGUAGCAAACAGGAUUAGAUACCCUGGUAGUCCACGCUGUAAACGAUGGAUGCUGGAUGUCGGGGCGCAAGCUUCGGUGUCGUAGUUAACGCGAUAAGCAUCCCGCCUGGGGACUACGGUCGCAAGGCUGAAACUCAAAGAAAUUGACGGGGGCCCGCACAAGCGGUGGAGUAUGUGGUUUAAUUCGAUGCAACGCGAAGAACCUUACCUGGGUUUGACAUCCUGCUAACGAAGUAGAGAUACAUUAGGUGCCCUUCGGGGAAAGCAGAGACAGGUGGUGCAUGGUUGUCGUCAGCUCGUGUCGUGAGAUGUUGGGUUAAGUCCCGCAACGAGCGCAACCCCUAUUGUUAGUUGCUACCAUUAAGUUGAGCACUCUAGCGAGACUGCCCGGGUUAACCGGGAGGAAGGUGGGGAUGACGUCAAAUCAUCAUGCCCCUUAUGUCUAGGGCUACACACGUGCUACAAUGGCAAGUACAAAGAGAAGCAAGACCGCGAGGUGGAGCAAAACUCAAAAACUUGUCUCAGUUCGGAUUGUAGGCUGGAACUCGCCUACAUGAAGCUGGAGUUGCUAGUAAUCGCGAAUCAGCAUGUCGCGGUGAAUACGUUCCCGGGCCUUGUACUCACCGCCCGUCA